rnacentral:lncRNA from 1 species
GUUUAGAUCUGUGUUUAGGUAAUUGGGAUUGGGGCCUUCAAUUGGAGUCAGCUGUCUAUCGUUGUCUCUGAUUGAAGGUCCUAUAAUUAGGAAUAUGUUUGUCAUGGGAUUUGUGGGAGAUUGUUCUUAGCCUGCAAGACUGUUAGUUUGUUUCUUGUUUUGGUAUUUAAGUGUUCACAAAUAAAAGUUAAGAUGAGCACUCGACCCGCUGCGCCAAUCAAUUAAAUGAAACCCAUCUCAUCAACGGCCAACCGGCGUACACGGUGAGGCUCCACCUGAAGGUUCGACCAUGGGGCAGGGGAUUCCAGUACCUGGUUGACUGGAGGAGAGGUGCUGGGUCCCCGUUAGGGACAUCCUGGACCCAGGCCUCAUCGCUGAGUUCCAACGCCAGCACCCCGGUUAACCAGUUCCUGUUUUCUAGCUUUCCCGGGUUUUUGACCAUUCUGCCUGCCAUUCUGUACCUUGUCACACGACCCUGGAUUACUGACCUCUGCCUGCCCUGACCCUGAGCCUGCCUGCCUGCC